rnacentral:rRNA from 1 species
UUUAAAUUGAAGAGUUUGAUCAUGGCUCAGAUUGAACGCUGGCGGCAGGCCUAACACAUGCAAGUCGAACGGUAACAGGAAACAGCUUGCUGUUUCGCUGACGAGUGGCGGACGGGUGAGUAAUGUCUGGGAAACUGCCUGAUGGAGGGGGAUAACUACUGGAAACGGUAGCUAAUACCGCAUAACGUCGCAAGACCAAAGAGGGGGACCUUCGGGCCUCUUGCCAUCAGAUGUGCCCAGAUGGGAUUAGCUAGUAGGUGGGGUAACGGCUCACCUAGGCGACGAUCCCUAGCUGGUCUGAGAGGAUGACCAGCCACACUGGAACUGAGACACGGUCCAGACUCCUACGGGAGGCAGCAGUGGGGAAUAUUGCACAAUGGGCGCAAGCCUGAUGCAGCCAUGCCGCGUGUAUGAAGAAGGCCUUCGGGUUGUAAAGUACUUUCAGCGGGGAGGAAGGGAGUAAAGUUAAUACCUUUGCUCAUUGACGUUACCCGCAGAAGAAGCACCGGCUAACUCCGUGCCAGCAGCCGCGGUAAUACGGAGGGUGCAAGCGUUAAUCGGAAUUACUGGGCGUAAAGCGCACGCAGGCGGUUUGUUAAGUCAGAUGUGAAAUCCCCGGGCUCAACCUGGGAACUGCAUCUGAUACUGGCAAGCUUGAGUCUCGUAGAGGGGGGUAGAAUUCCAGGUGUAGCGGUGAAAUGCGUAGAGAUCUGGAGGAAUACCGGUGGCGAAGGCGGCCCCCUGGACGAAGACUGACGCUCAGGUGCGAAAGCGUGGGGAGCAAACAGGAUUAGAUACCCUGGUAGUCCACGCCGUAAACGAUGUCGACUUGGAGGUUGUGCCCUUGAGGCGUGGCUUCCGGAGCUAACGCGUUAAGUCGACCGCCUGGGGAGUACGGCCGCAAGGUUAAAACUCAAAUGAAUUGACGGGGGCCCGCACAAGCGGUGGAGCAUGUGGUUUAAUUCGAUGCAACGCGAAGAACCUUACCUGGUCUUGACAUCCACGGAAGUUUUCAGAGAUGAGAAUGUGCCUUCGGGAACCGUGAGACAGGUGCUGCAUGGCUGUCGUCAGCUCGUGUUGUGAAAUGUUGGGUUAAGUCCCGCAACGAGCGCAACCCUUAUCCUUUGUUGCCAGCGGUCCGGCCGGGAACUCAAAGGAGACUGCCAGUGAUAAACUGGAGGAAGGUGGGGAUGACGUCAAGUCAUCAUGGCCCUUACGACCAGGGCUACACACGUGCUACAAUGGCGCAUACAAAGAGAAGCGACCUCGCGAGAGCAAGCGGACCUCAUAAAGUGCGUCGUAGUCCGGAUUGGAGUCUGCAACUCGACUCCAUGAAGUCGGAAUCGCUAGUAAUCGUGGAUCAGAAUGCCACGGUGAAUACGUUCCCGGGCCUUGUACACACCGCCCGUCACACCAUGGGAGUGGGUUGCAAAAGAAGUAGGUAGCUUAACCUUCGGGAGGGCGCUUACCACUUUGUGAUUCAUGACUGGGGUGAAGUCGUAACAAGGUAACCGUAGGGGAACCUGCGGUUGGAUCACCUCCUUACC